GACGUUUACUUGUGCAAAACAGAAAGAAGU
rnacentral:piRNA from 1 species